AUUUAACACUCAAUAAGCAUUAGAUAUUAAAACUUACAUGGCAAUAAUUAUAACCCUUUUCCUUUCUCCUCCUUAAACUACCCACUUUUCCACUCCAAUACUCAUUCCCGAGAGUGAAUAUCAUUUUUCACCGUCGAAUUAAGACCAUUUAACAAGGCCUUUUUUCAAUGUAGCUUAAUCAACAGUUUGGCAGAUCACUUUUCCCGCGCCCAAUCAUCUGGUCUCAGAGGGUUUUCUCUCCUCGGAUUUAAACUCUUCCUCUCCAACUUUCCCGACUCGCCCCACAACAUUUCCACCGUGCACAUUCUGUGACCUCAAAUCCGUCCAAUCAUUGAGCAAGCAACGGUGGCACGCCUACCAAAUGCUAGGCACUGCUAAUUUUGUGAUCAAUAAAACAGGUCUCUUCUUAGCCACGAGCUCAACGGAGUGCAAAAUAAAAGCGCGCUUCCAAGUAAUAAAGACACAAGCGAGCGGGUACUGUAAUUCGGGCAGGUCUGAGGCUCCCGACAGAACCGCUACAAGCCAGGAGGCAGAAGUAAUAGCGGAGACACCGGAGCACGCAAAGGUCCUGGAAAAAGCGACAGGAAGAUGAUCUUCACCAACGAGAAGAUGGUGCCAGACUGCUCCUAAGAACACACCUUGAGAGGGAGAUGAAGGAUGGGAUCCAGGGCCCUCAGCUGAAAGCUGCGGCCACACAGGUCUCUGCCGGGAGGAAGGAGGUGAGUCACAGCGGUCGCUACGGAGAGCCCGCAGCGUAGCCGGCCGGGGGGAUGGGGACUUCGAAGAAACGCUACACUUUCCCCAUCCCGAGGCAACACCCC
rnacentral:lncRNA from 1 species